rnacentral:rRNA from 1 species
CACGUAGGGUGCGAGCGUUGUCCGGAAUUAUUGGGCGUAAAGAGCUCGUAGGCGGUGUGUCGCGUCGGCCGUGAAAACCUGCAGCUUAACUGUGGGCUUGCGGUCGAUACGGGCAUCACUGGAGUUCGGCAGGGGAGACUGGAAUUCCUGGUGUAGCGGUGAAAUGCGCAGAUAUCAGGAGGAACACCGGUGGCGAAGGCGGGUCUC